GAGCCUGAUGCAGGGCUCAAUCCCAUGACCCUGAGAUCAUGACCUGAGCUGAAAUCAAGAGUCAAAUGCUCAACCAUCUGAGCCACCGAGGCAUCUCAAUUGUGCCUUUUUAAUAUAGAAAAUUCAGGGCACCUGGGCGGCUCAGUUGGUUAAGUGUCUGACUCUUGCUUUUGGCUCAGGUCAUGAUCUCAUGGUUCAUGAGAUCAAGCCCCAUGUUGGUCUCUGCAUUGAAAGGAGGGAGCCUGCUUAGGAUUCUCUCUCUGUCCCUCUGUGUCCCCCUCCCCUGCUUGCUCGCUCUCUCUCUCUCUCAAAAUAAAUAAACUUAAAAAUAUAUAGAGAAAAUUAUAUAAGCAGUUAAACAUUAAGGAGAGAAUCCCCAAACACAAGUUAUUAAACUGAAGUCUAGUCACAAAUCACUGCUUAUUCUAACCCUCAUUUAUUUAAAACCAGAUUUGUGUCAAAGUCUUUCCAGAGACGUUUUUACAGUUCCAAUCCUUCAGGCUUGGGACAACUGAUGCUUCCUUCUUCUUAUUGCUUAUUGCUUCCUUCUGCCUGCCCAGUUUCUACAGCUCCAAAGCCAGAGAGUAGCAUGCCUUGACCAUGUUCCGCUUGCUCUGAGAAUUCCUGUCAGCACUGGAUUCCAUCGUUAAAAAAAAAAAAAAAAAAAAAAAAGGAAUUAUAUAUGAAACUUCUGCAAAAAUACAUGCUUAUUCAAUAUAAUGUAUGGUUAUUGACAGAAGCUUUUAGCAUAACAGAAACACCACAGACUUUGGAAUCAGGCCUGGGACCAAAUCCUGAGUCCAUCAACAUGGGAUCUUCUGAAUUGGAGAGCAACACCUGUCUAGAUGCAAUGUUCCGUUUUCCUAUUCCUUGACUGUUAUUAGUCUAAUCUCCCUAGCCUAGAUCUUCUCAGUUUUAAGGGAAAUACUUCGGGGCACCUGAGUGGCUCAGCUGGUUGAGCGUCUGACUUCGGCUCAGGUCAUAAUCUCACGGUUUGUGAGUUCGAGCCCGGCGUCGGGCUCUGGGCUGACAGCUCAGAGCCUGGAGCCUGCUUCGGAUUCCGUGUCUCCUUCUCUCUCUGCCCAUCCCCUGCUUGUGCUCUGUCUCUCUGUCUCUCAAAAAUAAAUAACUGUAAGGGAAAUACUUCUAAAUCCUUACAGUUCGUGUAAAACCAUUCCCAGGGCUCAGCCUGGUCUUUCUGUGAAAUGAGGCUAAAAUCUCCCACCCAGAAUCAUUGUGAAGAUGGGAUGAGGGAGCAGACCCCACAGAAAAGGCCUAUGUAGAGAAAGACACUAUUGGUGCUAGUAUCCUUCCCCUCACUCCCCGUGCCUUUUCAUUUGUUAUUGAGGAAUAACGUUUAUGCUGAAAAGUGCACAUGGAUUGGGGUGUGAAUUUCCACAAACAGCACAGACCUAUGCAACCAACCUGCAGGUCAAGAAAUCACAGACUCCAAGGAGCUCCCCGGAGCCCCUUCCCUUCCCUAUUUUCAUAGUUUGGGGACUAAUGACAUUGUCAUCCAUAGGAGAGAAGCUGCCCUAAGGAUUUUCUCCAAAACCUUGUGUGUACCAGCAAAAACCAGCAAAGUUCUCAGAAGGUGGUAAUGUAUUGCCUUGUAAUGGGUUUCUCCUCAGGAUAUCCAAGUGGACAGAGAGUUUGACGACCUCGCUAUCUCAGUGAAGGUAAUUCUUCCAGCACUUUAUAUCAAGACUGCUGCCCACAGAGUGGAGUACAAACGACUUGCCUCCAGUCUACACCCCGUCCCUACUGGCGUCUGUCCCUAAGUGACUGCGGUAUGUGGCUUCCUCUCACAUUGGCCACUUCAACUUCCAUGUGGAGAGUUCUUGGCCUCAUGAUGCUUUAUUACCACUUGAGUCUGCAGUGAGUCCCCAUGUCAGCUGGGUGGUCAUGAGCUCACGAACCUUGGGAUGGAGCCCUGCAUCAGGCUCUGUGCUGUGCGUUGGUGGAGCAGAGCCUGCCUCGGAGUCUCUCUCUCCCUCUCUCCCUUGCUCUUUCUUUCUCUCAAAAUGAAUAAAAUAACAUUAAAAAAAAUAAAAAUGGUAUGCCCAUACAAUGGAAUAUUAUUUGGCCAUAAAAAGAAAUGAAAUUUGAGGUGAUGAUAGCAUUCUAAACUUGCUUGUGGUAAUGGCUGCACAACUCUGUGAAUAUACCAAAAGUAAUUGGACAUUUUAAAUAGAUGAAUUGUAGAGGAUGUGAACUGUAUCUCAAUAAAGCUGUUUACAAGAAACAGGAGUGAAGGAUCAUGCUACCACAGGAAUGUAUCAUGUAACAGGAGGAAUGUGUCAUGCUACAACAUGAAUGAACCUUGAAAACAUGAUGCUGUGAAAGAAGCCAUUCACAAAAGACCACAUAUUGUAUGAUUCUGUUUAUAGGAAAUGUCCAGAAUAGGUAAAUCUACCAAGACAGAAAGUAGAUUAGAAGUUGCCUAGGGCUGGGGCGCCUGUGUGGCUCAGUGGGUCGAACAUCUGACUCUUGAUUUCAGCUGAUUGUGAUCCCAGGGGAUUGAGUCCUGUGUCCUGUGUCUCCAUGCUGAGCAUGGAGCCUUCUUGGGAUUCUCUCACUCACUUGCUCUGCUCCUGCUCUCUCUCUCUCUCUCUCUCACACACACACACACAAACACACACACUCUCUCUCUCUCUCUCUC